rnacentral:rRNA from 1 species
UACAGAGGUCUCAAGCGUUUGUUCGGAUUCAUUGGGCGUAAAGGGCGCGUAGGCGGCGGGGUAAGUCGGGUGUGAAAUCUCAGAGCUCAACUCUGAAACUGCACUCGAUACUGCUUUGCUAGAGGACUGGAGAGGAGAUUGGAAUUCACGGUGUAGCAGUGAAAUGCGUAGAUAUCGUGAGGAAGACCAGUGGCGAAGGCGGAUCUCUGGGACAGUUCCUGACGCUGAGGCGCGAAGGCCAGGGGAGCAAACGGG